UACGAAGGGGGCUAGCGUUGUUCGGAAUUACUGGGCGUAAAGCGCAUGUAGGCGGUUCCUUAAGUCAGGGGUGAAAUCCCGGGGCUCAACCCCGGAAUUGCCUUUGAUACUGGAGAGCUAGAGUUUGGGAGAGGUGAGUGGAAUUCCGAGUGUAGAGGUGAAAUUCGUAGAUAUUCGGAGGAACACCAGUGGCGAAGGCGGCUCACUGGCCCGAAACUGACGCUGAGAUGCGAAAGCGUGGGGAGCAAACAGG
rnacentral:rRNA from 1 species